rnacentral:rRNA from 1 species
UACGAAGGGGGCUAGCGUUGCUCGGAAUCACUGGGCGUAAAGGGUGCGUAGGCGGGUCUUUAAGUCAGGGGUGAAAUCCUGGAGCUCAACUCCAGAACUGCCUUUGAUACUGAGGAUCUUGAGUUCGGGAGAGGUGAGUGGAACUGCGAGUGUAGAGGUGAAAUUCGUAGAUAUUCGCAAGAACACCAGUGGCGAAGGCGGCUCACUGGACCAUAACUGACGCUGAUGCACGAAAGCUAGGGAAGCAAACAGG